GGACCUGACUGCUAUCGGAUUAAUACUAAGCCAUGCGAGUUUUUGUAGUAAUACAAGGCAUACGGCUCAGUAACACGUAGUCAACCUACCCUAUGGACGAGGAUAAUCUCGGGAAACUGAGCAUAAUACUCGAUAGACCAUAAUGCCUGGAAUGGUUUAUGGUUGAAAUGAUUCGUCGCCAUAGGAUGGGACUGCGGCCUAUCAGCUUGUUGGUGAGGUAAUGGCCCACCAAGGCGAUUACAGGUACGGGCUCUGAGAGGAGAAGCCCGGAGAUGGGUACUGAGACACGGACCCAGGCCCUAUGGGGCGCAGCAGGCGAGAAAACUUUGCAAUGUGCGAAAGCACGACAAGGUUAGUCCGAGUGAUUUCUGCUAAAGAGAUCUUUUGCAAGUUCUAAAACCACUAGUGAAUAAGGGGUGGGCAAGUUCUGGUGU
rnacentral:rRNA from 1 species